rnacentral:piRNA from 1 species
UGCUGCUGUAGCCAGUGACCAAGCA